GACCUAUCCAUGGUCAGGAUGAAGCUAGAGUAAAAUCUAGUGGAGGUCCGAACUGAUUGUCGUUAAAAAGGCACCGGAUGAACUGUGGAUAGCGGAGAAAUUCCAAUCGAACUCAGAGAUAGCUGGUUCUCCUCGAAAUAGCUUUAGGGCUAGCCUUGAGGUUAAAGCAUAUGGGGGUAGAGCACUGAAUGAGGUAGGGGCCUAACCAGGUUACCAAACUCUAUCAAACUCCGAAUACCAUAUGUAAAUACUCAGGAGUCAGACUGCGGGAGCUAAGUUCCGUGGUCAAAAGGAAAACAGUCCAGACCGUCAAUUAAGGUCCCAAAGAUAUAGCUAAGUGGAAAACGAUGUGAUUUUGCGUAAACAACCAGGAUGUUGGCUCAGAAGCAGCCAUUCAUUUAAAGAGUGCGUAAUAGCUCACUGGUCGAGUGAAGUUGCGCGGAAAAUUACCGGGGCUAAGCUAUACACCGAAAUUGCGGAUUUGCAGUUGAAAGACACUGUAAGUGGUAGAGGAGCAUUCUGUAGUAGGACGAAGCAGUACCGAAAGGAGCUGUGGACGAGGCAGAAGAGAGAAUGCUGGAAUAAGUAGCGAGAGGAUGGUGAGAAUCCAUCCCGUCGAAAAUCUAAGGUUUCCUAGGGAAGGUUCGUCCGCCUAGGGUAAGUCGGGACCUAAGGAGAGGCCAAAAGGCGUAUCUGAUGGACAGCAGGUUGAAAUUCCUGCACUAUAGCUAUACUUAAAAGAUGCAAGGGACGCAGAAGUGGAAGAUAACCAUGGAAGAGGAAAGACAUGGCCCGCAAGGGGGAGUGAAACAAUAAGUAACGAAGUAUCAAGAAGCACGCUGACGAGAAAAGCUUGUAGACAUUGUAUAGAAAUACCCGUACCGCAAACCGACACAGGUAGAUGAGGAGAGGAUCCUAAGACGAGCGGGAGAAGCAUUGUUAAGGAACUCGGCAAAUUAACCCCGUAACUUCGGAAUAAGGGGUACUGAUGUAACAGUCAGUCGCAGAGAAAAGGCCCAAGCAACUGUUUAACAAAAACAUAGGUUUCUGCUAAAUCGAAAGAUGAAGUAUAGGAGCUGACGCCUGCCCAGUGCUGGAAGGUUAAGGGAAGAGGUUAGAUUAUAUCAAAGCUUCGAACUGAAGCCCCAGUGAACGGCGGCCGUAACUAUAACGGUCCUAAGGUAGCGAAAUUCCUUGUCAGGUAAGUUCUGACCCGCACGAAAGGCGUAAUGAUUUGGGCACUGUCUCGACAAUGUCCCCGGCGAAAUUGUAGUACUAGUGAAGAUGCUAGUUACCUGCGAUAAGACAGAAAGACCCCAUGGAGCUUUACUGCAGUUUGAUACUGGGUUUCGAUGAUUUAUGUACAGGAUAGUUGGGAGGCUAUGAGUAAGAGGCGUCAGCUUCUUAGGAGCCAACGUUGGGAUACCAACCUUAAGUUAUUGAAAUUCUAACCUUUGAUCAUAAACUGGUCAGGGGACAAUGUCAGACGGGCAGUUUGACUGGGGCGGUCGCCUCCUAAAGAGUAACGGAGGCGUCCAAAGGUUCCCUCAGCGCGGACAGAAAUCGCGCGAAAGAGUGCAAAGGCAGAAGGGAGCUUAACUGAGAGACAGACAUGUCGACCAGAUACGAAAGUAGGGCUUAGUGAUCCGGUGGUUGUAAAUGGAAAUGCCAUCGCUCAACGGACAAAAGUUACCCUGGGGAUAACAGGCUUAUCUCCCCCAAGAGUUCACAUCGACGGGGAGGUUUGGCACCUCGAUGUCGGCUCAUCGCAUCCUGGAGCUGAAGUCGGUUCCAAGGGUUGGGCUGUUCGCCCAUUAAAGCGGUACGCGAGCUGGGUUCAGAACGUCGUGAGACAGUUCGGUCCUUAUCUAUCGCAGGCGUAAGAUAUUUGAAGAGUGCUGUCCUUAGUACGAGAGGACCAGGAUGGACAUACCAAUGGUGUAUCAGUUGUCUCACCAGAGGCACGGCUGAGUAGCUAAGUAUGGAUUGGAUAAACGCUGAAAGCAUCUAAGUGUGAAGCCAACUCUAAGAUAAGAUAUCUCAUAUCGU
rnacentral:rRNA from 1 species